rnacentral:sRNA from 1 species
GCUAGGCGUGGUGGUGCGUGCCUGUAAUCCCAGCUACUUGGGAGGCUGAGGCGGGAGAACUGCUUGAAUCUGGGAGGUGGAGGUUGCAAUGAGCCGAGAGUGUGCCACUGCACUCCAGCCUGGGAAAUAGAGUGAGACUCUGUCUCAAAAAAAAUCACAGUCUCACUCUGUUGCCCAGGCUGGAGUGCAGUGGCACAAUCUUGGCUCACUGCCAGCUCUGCCUCCCAGGCUCACGCCAUUCUACUGCCUCAG